UACGUAGGGGGCAAGCGUUGUCCGGAAUCAUUGGGCGUAAAGAGCGUGUAGGCGGCCCGGUCAGUCCGCCGUGAAAGUCCAGGGCUCAACCCUGGAAUGCCGGUGGAUACUGCCGGGCUGGAGUCCGGAAGAGGCGAGUGGAAUUCCUGGUGUAGCGGUGAAAUGCGCAGAUAUCAGGAGGAACACCAAUGGCGAAGGCAGCUCGCUGGGACGGUACUGACGCUGAGACGCGAAAGCGUGGGGAGCGAACAGG
rnacentral:rRNA from 1 species